GACGAACGCUGGCGGCGUGCUUAACACAUGCAAGUCGAACGGAAAGGCCCUGCUUGCAGGGUACUCGAGUGGCGAACGGGUGAGUAACACGUGGGUGAUCUGCCCUGCACUUCGGGAUAAGCCUGGGAAACUGGGUCUAAUACCGGAUAGGAGCCAUUUUUAGUGUGAUGGUUGGAAAGUUUUUUCGGUGUAGGAUGAGCUCGCGGCCUAUCAGCUUGUUGGUGGGGUAAUGGCCUACCAAGGCGGCGACGGGUAGCCGGCCUGAGAGGGUGGACGGCCACACUGGGACUGAGAGACGGCCCAGACGCCUACGGGAGGCAGCUGUGGGGAAGAUUGCACAAUGGGCGCCAGCCUGAUGCAGCGACGCCGCGGGGGGGAUGACGGUCUUCGGGUUGUAAACUCGUUUCGCGAGGGACGAAGCUUUUUGUGACGGUACCUAGAUAAGAAGCACCGGCUAACUACGUG
rnacentral:rRNA from 1 species